GAAUAAAAGAGCUUAUCAAAUGCAAAGGAUUCCAGGUUGCACCUGCUGAACUUGAAGGAUUGCUUCUUUCACACCCCGAGAUAUUAGAUGUUGUCGUCAUCCCAUUUCCGGAUGAUGAAGCUGGUGAGGUUCCUAUAGCUUAUGUUGUUUGCUCUGCUCAGAGUUCACUAACAGAAGAGGAUGUUCAGAAGUUUAUUUUUGAGCAGGUUGCACCGUACAAGAGGCUGAGGCGAGUGACCUUUGUGAAGAGCAUCCCGAAAUCAGCUUCUGGUAAAAUAUUGAGAAGAGAAUUUAUUGCUAUAGUUAAGGAAAAAUUGUAGAGAAGUUUUAUCUUUACUUAAAUUUUAUGGACAACACGAUAUGUCUCUUGUGUUUGUUACUUCGAAAUUAGAUUUACUUUGCAAAACCGUAGAAAGUCAAAGGCAAAAUUGUAAAAUGUUUUUA